UAUGACACUUCCGUUUUUCUAGAAUUAACCCCAGAAAUGUAAUCGUUAAUGUUGGGUGAAGAUAAACUGUUUAACUUAAACGUCUUGUAUGUCGGAUAUUCGUAGGGCAAUUGGAGACAGGUUGAUUCCCUGUACUAUGGGAUCCAAUGCAAGCCAGCUAGAGAAGGAUAUCGGAGCAGAACUAUUUCCUUCAAAUGAACAUUACUUCGGUCUAGUCAAUUUUGGGAAUACAUGUUACUCAAACUCCGUCCUGCAAGCUCUCUACUUCUGCAAACCCUUCAGAGAAAAAGUGUUGGAGUAUAAAGCUAAGAACAAGAGGAACAAGGAGACCCUGCUCUCCUGUCUAGCUGACCUCUUCUACAGUAUAGUCACACAAAAGAGAAAAGUUGGAACAAUCGCGCCCAAGAAGUUUAUUGCAAGGCUAAGAAAGGAGAAGCUAGAGUUCGACAACUACAUGCAGCAGGAUGCUCACGAGUUCCUGAAUUUCCUGAUCAAUCACAUCAAUGAAAUAAUCGUGGGUGAGCAGAACCAGAACCAAGGUGGUAAACCUAAACCUGGAGAACCAGACCAGGAACCACAGAACAACCCAACCUGGAUCAAUGAUAUAUUCCAGGGUAUACUGACCAGUGAAACCCGGUGUUUAAACUGUGAAACAGUGACAUCCAAGGACGAAGACUUCUUUGAUCUUAGUAUAGACGUUGACCAGAAUACCUCUGUAACGAACUGUUUGCGUAAUUUCUCCUCGACGGAAACUCUUUGCUCAGAUAAUAAAUUCAAAUGUGAUACUUGCAGCUCAUACCAGGAGGCACAGAAGCGUAUGCGUGUGAAACGGUUACCCACAAUCCUUGCCCUUCAUCUGAAACGGUUCAAGUUCGUAGAGCAAUAUAAUCGGCAUAUAAAGGUGUCUCAUCGUGUUGUGUUCCCUCUAGAGCUUCGUCUCUUUAACACCUCAGAUGAUGCUGUCAAUCCUGAUAGACUCUACGAUCUCGUAGCAGUAGUCAUUCAUUGUGGAUCCGGUCCUAACAGGGGUCACUAUAUCUCUAUAGUGAAGAGUCAUGGAUUCUGGUUGAUAUAUGAUGAUGAUGUUGUGGAUAAAAUAGAUCCGUCUGCUAUAGAGGACUUCUACGGAUUAACAACAGAUAUCCAGAAAUCCUCUGAGACAGGAUAUAUUCUGUUCUACCAGUCCAGGGAUGCAGUCUAGAUAUAGAUAUAUAUAUAUAUUAUAUAUACAUAGAUACUCCUAGUCCUAGUUAUAUUGUUGAUAUAAACACUGGAUACCUCUAUCCUUUGUAGUGACAUUCAGGAUACAUUUGGAUAUGUUAGUUAAUAGCAGCUGUAGUUUGGGAUAUUCAGGAUACAAUUUAACAUACUAUAUUGAUAUAUUAGGUGUCUUUAAUUCAAGAUAUGCUUAAUAUCAAUAUAUAUCUUGCCAGUUGAACCAAAAUUUUCCUUUCUUCCCCAAAAAAAUAUUUUAUACCCCUGUGUUUUGGACAUACUAGACUUUAUCUAAAUAAGAUCAAGAGUCAAGACUCUUUCAUAUUUCUGAAGUUUAAAGUAAGUACGUUUGAUGAGAUGCAUUUCAAAGGGGUUUCAGUAUACAUCUAUGUUCUUAAAUUUACAAAAAAUUGUCUUUAAUAUGAUUGAUAUCUUAAAAGGGGAGAUAUUCUUUUAGUUAGUUUUGUUAUGAGUCAGGUUAGGAACUUGAAAUUGUUUAGAUUUGGUGAAGAUUUAGUUUAAAAGUCGGAUUAGGAGUUUAACGUUAUUAAAAGAUUCGAAACGUAUGCCUGCAGCCCACCUCACUGUACUUCUCCAUUAGAAAAUUUAGAAAAUGGAAAAACUAUUUCUUGUGAUUUGUUUUAACUGUGAUUUAUUGUUAUUAAAUUUGUUCUUCACACAAAUAUUCUCUUUAUUCCAACAGGAUGCUAGUUUUUUUGCCAUUCAAUUGAAUUUUUUUAGGCUGGACUAUUCCAACAAGAUAGUCUGAGCUAGGAAUUUUUAAUAAGCGCAUUAAGCUAAACCACUUAUCUACUCUCGGGCACAAUAACUAAGAGAUCAGUUAAUAUCUCUCCUAGAAGAAAAUGAGUUAAACUCAUUUCGAUUAUUUAAGAUUCACAGCUUUGGAAAUUUUUCAAGGAUUCGGAAAUAUUUUAGGAAAAUUGAUUUUUCUUUACAGACUUAUCUUUUAUAUUCCUAACAUAAAAGUUUCAGAAAAAAUAUUUUGUAUGAAAGUUGGAAGUAAAAUAUUGAUGUGUGUGAUUAAGUUAAUAUAUUUUUUUUUUAUAAAAGCAGCAAUGAUUAGUUGUGAUAUUAUAUGUACAGUGUACAGUGUACAGUGUACAGUGUACACUGUACACUGUACAUCAUAUGUAAAACUGUAAUGUUGUUUGUCAACUAUAUCUAACUCCGCCACUGAUUAUCUAGAGAGGAUAAGAAAUCCAAUUGUGUUAGUUAGAGAUCUUUCAGAGAUGUAAAUUUUCCAGAAUUCUCCACUCACAGUUUUUCAACAUUUUCCAGGUGGUCAUAAUAUUUUACUUAGGCUUGCAAGCUCAAAAACCAUUUUCAAUACUUAUCUCCCUCCCCCCCCCCAAAAAAAAUCAGUUUUAAAUGUAAAAAGUUGCAAUAAAUUAUAAACUCCGGAAAGUGAGAGAUAAAAUUA